rnacentral:lncRNA from 1 species
GAACGGAAGCGACGCGGCUCCAGGCUCGGAUGAGGCAGCGGGUGAAGAGGGGGCGUAAGUUCUGAGGGUGACUUGGGUUAGAUCUCUUGCGAGAGAUUUUUUUUAUGUUUUUAUGUUUCGGCCUUGAAUGGCCUUGUUUGUAUUUCGGGACUGGCCGUGUGUGGCUUUGAAUCCCUGCCGCUCCGCGGCUUUCUUUCUAUAGUACGAUAAUCGGAUAAUGCUUUUUAUGAGUUCGUGAAUAGUGGGGAGGAAGGUGAUGAGUUGUCGUCUCAUAUCCUUCUUCGAUUGUGAAAUGUCUCAUUCGAG